rnacentral:rRNA from 1 species
GAUGAACGCUAGCGGCAGGCCUAACACAUGCAAGUCGAGGGGCAGCAUAAAUAAUAGCAAUAUUAUUUGAUGGCGACCGGCGCACGGGUGCGUAACACGUAUGCAAUCUGCCUUGUACUGGGGCAUAACUCAGAGAAAUCUGUGCUAAUUCCCCAUAGUAUUAUAGAGAGGCAUCUUUUUAUAAUUAAAGAAUUUCGGUACAAGAUGAGCAUGCGUCCAAUUAGCUAGUAGGCGAGGUAACGGCUCACCUAGGCGACGAUUGGUAGGGGUUCUGCGACGAUGAGCCCCCACACUGGUACUGAGACACGGACCAGACACAUGCGGGGGGAAGCAGUGGGAAAUAUUGCGCAGUGGACGAAAGGCUGACGCAGCAAUGCCGCGUUAAGGAGUGAAGGCCCUAUGGGUUGUAAACUUCUUUUGUAUGGGAAAAAACCCCCGCUCGUGAGCGGGGCUGAUGGUACCAUAAGAAUAAGCACCGGCUAACUCCGUGCCAGCAGCCGCCGUAACAC